UGCUGAUCCGCAAUGGACGAAAGUCCACGGAGCAACGCCGCGUGAGUGAUGAAGGUUUUCGGAUCGUAAAGCUCUGUUGUUAGGGAAGAACAAGUGCCGUUUAAAUAGGGCGGCACCUUGACGGUACCUAACCAGAAAGCCACGGCUAACUACGGCCAGCAGCCGCGGUAAUACGUAGGUGGCAAGCGUUGUCCGGAAUUAUUGGGCGUAAAGGGCUCGCAGGCGGUUUCUACUGAUGUGAAAGCCCCCGGCUCAACCGGGGAGGGUCAUUGGAAACUGGGGAACUUGAGUGCAGAAGAGGAGAGUGGAUUCCACGUCAGCGGUGAAAUGCGUAGAGAUGUGGAGGAACACCAGUGGCGAAGGCGACUCUCUGGUCUGUAACUGACGCUGAGGAGCGAAAGCGUGGGGAGCGAACAGGAUUAGAUACCCUGGUAGUCCACGCCGUAAACGAGGAGUGCUAAGUGUUAGGGGGUUUCCGCCCCUUAGUGCUGCAGCUAACGCAUUAAGCACUCCGCCUGGGGAGUACGGUCGCAAGACUGAAACUCAAAGGAAUUGACGGGGGCCCGCACAAGCGGUGGAGCACGUGGUUUAAUUCGAAGCAACGCGAAGAACCUUACCAGGUCUUGACAUCCUCUGACAAUCCUAGAGAUAGGGCCCUUCGGGGGCAGAGUGACAGGUGGUGCAUGGUUGUCGUCAGCUCGUGUCGUGAGAUGUUGGGUUAAGUCCCGCAACGAGCGCAACCCUUGAUUUUAGUUGCCAGCAUUCAGUUGGGCACUUUAAGGUGACCCCGGUGACAAACCGGAGGAAGGUGGGGAUGACGUCAAAUCAUCAUGCCCCUUAUGACCUGGGCUACACACGUGCUACAAUGGACAGAACAAAGGGCAGCGAAACCGGGAGGUUAAGCCAAUCCCACAAAUCUGUUUUCAGUUCGGAUCGCAGUCUGCAACUCGACUGCGUGAAGCUGGAAUCGCUAGUAAUCGCGGAUCAGCAUGCCGCGGUGAAUACGUUCCCGGGCCUUGUACACACCGCCCGUCACACCACGAGAGUU
rnacentral:rRNA from 1 species